AUACGGAGGGUGCAAGCGUUAAGCGGAAUUACUGGGCGUAAAGGGCGCGUAGGCGGUCUAUCAAGUCAGGUAUGAAAUCCCACGGCUCAACCGUGGAGGUGCAUCUGAAACUGAUAGACUUGAGUAUGGGAGAGGAAAGUGGAAUUCCCGGUGUAGAGGUGAAAUUCGUAGAUAUCGGGAGGAACACCAGUGGCGAAGGCGACUUUCUGGACCAAUACUGACGCUGAGGCGCGAAAGCGUGGGGAGCAAACAGGAUUAGAUACCCUUGUAGUCC
rnacentral:rRNA from 1 species